rfam:Nomascus leucogenys chromosome 3, whole genome shotgun sequence.
GUGCUUGCUUUGACAGCACAUAUACUAAAGUUGGAAUGAUACAGAGAAGAUUAGCAUGGCCAUAAGCUGUUAAAAAAUAAUAAUUUUUUUU